UACGAAGGGGGCUAGCGUUGCUCGGAAUCACUGGGCGUAAAGCGCACGUAGGCGGAUCUUUAAGUCAGGGGUGAAAUCCCAAGGCUCAACCUUGGAACUGCCUUUGAUACUGGGGAUCUCGAGUCCGGAAGAGGUUGGUGGAACUGCGAGUGUAGAGGUGAAAUUCGUAGAUAUUCGCAAGAACACCAGUGGCGAAGGCGGCCAACUGGUCCGGAACU
rnacentral:rRNA from 1 species